rnacentral:rRNA from 1 species
AUGGGCGCAGCCUGACCAGCCAUGCCGCGUGGGCGAAGAAGGCCUUCGGGUUGUAAAGCACUUUCGGCCGGAACGAAAUCGCCUUCGUUAAUAGCGAGGGUGGAUGACGGUACCGGAAGAUGAUGCACCGGCUAACUACGUGCCAGCAGCCGCGGUAAUACGUAGGGUGCGAGCGUUAAUCGGAAUUACUGGGCGUAAAGGGUGCGCAGGCGGCGUCGCAAGUCAGGCGUGAAAUCCCCGGGCUUAACCUGGGAAUGGCACUUGAAACUACGAUGCUGGAGUAUGGCAGAGGGAGGUGGAAUUCCACGUGUAGCGGUGAAAUGCGUAGAGAUGUGGAGGAACACCGAUGGCGAAGGCAGCCUCCUGGGCCAAUACUGACGCUCAUGCACGAAAGCGUGGGGAGCAAACAGGAUUAGAUACCCUGGUAGUCCACGCCCUAAACGAUAAUGACUAGUUGUUGGAGGAGUUAAAUCCUUUAGUAACGCAGCUAACGCGAGAAGUCAUCCGCCUGGGGAGUACGGUCGCAAGAUUAAAACUCA